GAUACGUUAUUUUGUUUUGAAGUUUGUGCAGCACGAGCAUAAAGUAUCUUAACAUUGGUGCAUAAAAUGUCUCUUUUUCCAGCAUAUUCGGACAAUAUCGAAAGUCAGAAUAACUCAAAUACCCAAGAUGAAAAAGCAUGGCUUAUCAAUACAAGUUUUAUACCAUUGAGCUUGGAACAGAAUGACCGAGAUCUCUCGCUUCCUGGUUCUUCAGUAGAAACAUUUACUUCACCAGAUGACGAGAAGGGGGUGUCCAAAAAGAGAAAGAAUAAGGAGAAGAAGAAAAAACAAAAGAAAGAGUGUUCCGACGAUAAAUCUGAGGCUGCAACAGAACUGGUUUUAGAAUUCACCGGUCGAGAAAAUUACUACGUAGAUAAGACGAGCCAAAUUGGCUACUUAAAAGUUGGAAAACUUCACAAUCCCGCAUGUCCGCGGUACCAUUCAUCUAACCACGUUCUGGGUAAACCAAAAAGGUAUGAAAAUUUCAAGCAUGUGCGCUACUUUGCAAGGAAGCCAAAGAAAUCUGACCAAGUACCUGACAAAGAAGGACAGUAUCAAUUGUCUGAGGAGGAGUUCCUGAAAAAGAAUAAGGAAUUUAAUACUGAAUUGAGAAAAGAACCCGGAAACAUUACCAAAUGGGUUGAAUUUAUAAAUUUCCAAUCACAAGGUCUUCUAAAAUCUUCCACAACUAAUAUUCAAGUUGCGGAGCGAAAAAUUGGUAUACUCAAUAAGGCUCUUACUCUAAAUGCGUGCAAUGAGGAACUAUAUGCUCUUUAUGUAGACAUAGUAACAGCAGUUUAUCCCUCGUUUGAGGUCAGUAAGAUCCUGGACAAGCUUCUUGCCAAAGAUCCAACAAAUUAUACCCUCUGGAAUGCCCAAAUUUUGGCUACUCAGAAUUCUAUGGCACGCUGUAUUGUUCCAGAUGUUCUAAGUCUCUAUAAUAAAUCUAUGGAUAUUAUGUAUCGUAAACUCAGGAAUGAUUUUACAAUGAUAAGACUCUUUACAAGUUGUGCAUUUUUCCUACGUCAAGCUGGUCUACUUGAGCAAUUUUUUGCCCUAAUUAAGCUGGCUCUUGAGCUGAAUGUCUCUCAGGACAAAUUCACCGGGAUCGAGCCACUUGAGGCAGAUCAAAACACACUCGUUGAAUUUGAAGAGGUUGUUUUGAACUCCGGACUACCUAUGAAUGAGAUUUGGCUAAGAAUUGAGAAGCUCCGGACGAGUUUUAACUUUCUACCUUGCCCUACGGGAAUGAGUUGCACCGAUCCACAGCGUUCAGUCUUCAAUGAAGAUGUUUGUCAUUUCAUUUAUCCAUUGAUGAACCAGGAGAACUCCCUUGAGCUGAUCUUUAACAUUUUGCGUCUAUUGAAGAUUCCACUACCUCACUACAAAGCUUUCCAACAGACUAGUUCACUGGCAGAUUUAGAUGCACCAGAAGAAUUUUUAAACUUACUGCUCUUCUGUGAUCUUGGGCACGAUGCAAAAAUUAGAGAAUCAACAGUUAGUCUCAUCCGGGAAUUGGCUGUUGGACCGAGCUUUAUGAGCAGCUGGAUUGGUAAUGAUAUCUACAUAAAAGUUAUAGGAGAUAUAAUUUUGAAACUCGCAGAUUGCCAUAAAGGGCGUCAAAGGUGUAUAUUUAUCAUCCUGUGGAUACGAUUUCAGCGGAUACUUGUUAUCAUUAGUCGUCUUGAGGGAAAGUUGGAUGAUAAAAAUGCCAAAAGCUACCGACGUACCAUCAAAAGUGAACUAAAACGAGAAGAGAAUCGCAAUGAAGUAAUUUACUUCACAGAAUAUGCACUGCUUGAAUAUGAAAUUGGUGCCACAGAAGUUGCCGAGAGUAUCUUCAUGGGUGCAAUGGCAAAUUCCGAUGGUUGUGUCAAUGCAGAUAGAUUUUACACAGCCGUGACAUUUUGUGAAAUGUGGCUUAAGAAUGGUGAUCGAGAAAGAGCCUUAGCAGCUCUAUCAAAACUUGCAAUUGGAUUAGAUACACCACAAAUCUCCCAAAAAUUGCUGAUUCUUAAGAAAUUUCAAGAUCUCCUUGCAAACCUUGUUCAAGUUGAACGUUAUACCGAGGAAAUGAGAAUAGAACAGCUAAUACUUCCAGAUUACCUUAUAAACCUCAUUAAAGCGUGCGUUUAUACUCUAUUUCUCGUAAAAUCUUUCAAAGAAGUUCUCAGUUUGAUUCAAUACCUCAAGAAAAUUUUCAUUGGUAAAAAUCGCCGACAUUCCUUUAUUCAGGAAAAUAUCUAUGAGUUGUUGGUGAAUCUUGAAAGUCUUGAGAAAUGUGGUACAAAUUUUGAGGAUGUUUCUGAGGCAUUAACAUAUUUCCCAGAGAAUAUUUUCCUCGCAAAGUGCCUGAUUGCCGUACAGUCAGUGCCAUGGUAUAAAUUAAAAGGUAUUCUGAUUAAAUGCUCAACUCCUCAGUCAAUUCUCAUGCUAGUUGUUGCUGCAAGGUUGCGACACGUAAUACACGAAGAGCAUGAUCCUGUCCAGCAACGGAGUCUGCAACUUAGAGUUCUUUCAGCUCUUAGAAUCGUCACAAAUGAAGAAGGAAAACUUCGGAAGAAUCCUCUUAUGUGGCGUCUCCACCUUCGUUGUGCAUACGAAUUAGAAGCUUCUCUUCAUCAAUGUCGGAAUGUUCUAUUUGCUGCUCUUGAUGAAUGUCCGUGGAAUAAAUCUCUCUACCUGGAUGGUGCUGUGUAUGUUCCACACGAACUCACGCAACUACAGGAUCUCAUAAUUGAGAAGCAGCUACGGAUAUAUGCUUUACCUGAAGAGCUUGAGAUUCUGCGUAGUGAUGGGAAUUAAUUCUGAAAUUUCUUUGUAUGGAAAAUGAUGUUGCUGGCAACCCCUCAACAUGGGUGACAAUUGUCAUUGAAAUUAUUGCAGCUUAUCUUAGAACUCUAUAAAUGCGUAGAGUUGUUUAGUAAAGUGAAUUUUUUUUAAUAGACCGCUGUAAAAAAAAAGCCCUAUAACUUCAAGAACUCGGUGUUAUAAAACAAGCUAAGAUCUUCAAGAACUGCUCAUAUUAUAAUCUCAGCGAUCUCAGCUGUGUAAUUCAUCUGAUAAAUGCAUAUGUGUUGCACGGUCUGUUGUUCUCAAAUACCAAGUUCUAAAACGUCUGUGCGUUAUCGUUGGCUGUAUUUUAUGUGGACCUGGACAUCCUUACCAUUGUGUGCAGCAUCAUCUAUAAACAAUGCAAAAACAAUGUUCAUUGGACUUUUUUUUAAUAUCUACGUAUACCUAAAGAAAAAAAUGGCACAAACUUUGAAGGGGAAAAUCAUUGGUAAAUGAUCACAAAUUAUUUUUAAUUUUCAUAUUUAGUUAAUUAUGGUUAGGUAAUUUGAUUUACUAAAAAAAAAUUGUAUUAUAGAGACAAAAAAUAUGUUUUUUAAGCUUAGGGUUUACGAAUAGAGUACACUAAUUUUUUCAAUUUUACUUUUUUUGUUUUGAGUUACAAGUUAUAAUAAUCUUCAAUUUAUUCAGAGAAUUUUAAAGUAACUAUCUCUUUCCGUAUUAUUUAAUUACUAGUCAAGACGAGCCCCUAAUCACGUGUAAACAAACUCCAUUUUAAAGUAUAAAAGGACGGCGUAUAUAUGUAUGUAAGGGGAAUACAAAUUUUAAAAAUAAAAAAAAAUCCCGUUAUUUGACCCUUCAGCAUGUAGAAAAUGGGAGAAAAUCAAUUUUUCUGUGGGAAAGCUAUAAAGGGGAGUUGGGGCGGAAUCCUAUAUAGCGCUUGCAACUCGUAUUGACCCCCUCUACCUCCAUACCAAAUUUCAUCAAGAUCGGCCCAGCCGUUUCGGAGGAGUUCAUGUGCCACAAACAUACAAACAAACGAACAUACAAACUUUUCAGCUUUAUAGGUUAAGAUUAACAGAUCAAUUAUGUUACAGUUUUUAGCCUCUUAAACAAAGGGCGAUAGAGAGAAGAGGAUGUAAAGUGAGAGCUGGAUCAUGUUUCAUUUUAAUUAAAAUUGCUAUACAUGUAAAAAUAAAUUGUAUGUACAUCGAUAUCAUUUUUCAUAUAGCCCCUCUCACAUACAAUUUUUCACUUGACUAUUCACUAUGCCCUCCAAAAAUUCUUGCUCUCUGCAUAGUGGGUCUGUUGUAAUUUCCUCUACAACGUAUUUUUAUGUCAUAUAAAAUGAGUUAUUACAAAAAAAACUGUAUCCUUCCUAUAUGGUGUAAAUAGUCAAGUUAGAAGUGCUAUUUUUAUGAUCUUGCCCCUUUACUUUUUAUAGUUUAUAUUAUUUACUGAGGUUUAAUACUUUUUUACCUUAGAAAACAACACAAUUUGUAAAUAAAAUUCUAAAACAAUUUUCUUUUAACUGGGGUAUAUAUUAGUGCAUCGUGGAAACUAUCGGUAUGGAUCACCAUAUUUUCCAACACUGACUUUAAAAUCGUAUAAUAAGGAUAAUAAUGCAUUUUUAUAUGAUUCUUUAAUCAACAUUUUUUUAAAUUAUAAUUCAACAAGAAUUGCUCUUUCGAUUAUGAUGAAAUUUCUAUGUAUUGGUCGUUUUGGGAUAGUGGUAUAUACAAUACCU